rnacentral:lncRNA from 1 species
AUUAUUUUUCUUUUACUGUUUUCUCGUAUUUAUUUAUUUGUUUGUUUAUGAUCAUGAGAUAGUAUCCAGAAGUAAAUCUUGUAAUAAUUAAAUUCCUAUUUGUCAGUAUUUUACUUGUAAAUGGACUUAGUUUUUCUGCCGGGACACAUUACAUUGCUCUGUGGUUAAAGUUUUAAAAAUUUUGAUUACUUUCUUAAACUGUCGUGGAUUUCUACCAAACAUGUACAGAAG